UUACCCGGUGCCAAAUUGAAAGACGCAGUUCGUUUAUUGAUUCUCUCUCUCGGCUUCUUCCAUAAACAAAACCAAAAGGAGAGAGAGAGAGAGAGAGAAACGUACGGAAAUGGCGACUCUGCAAUAGCUCCUCUGGUUCAAGCCCCUUUCUCUGUACCUCUCCCUUUCAAUUCCAAAUUCUCUUUCACUCUGUAUAACUAUAUUAACUAUAUGAAAAAUGCAUGAUAUUCAAACUAUGAACCUUAACAUGGCAGCAGAAGUGGAGAACUACACACCUCCUCUUCAGAUCUGUGGUGGUUUCGCAUUGCUGCUUCAAUUUUUGACGGAAAAUUACUUGUUUUGAUCUUUUGAGGAUUUUCUCAUUGGCUUUUGGGAUAUUUAUUUGUUUAAUUGUUUCUAUUUUGGUUUGGGGGUGAAGUCACUGGAGGCAGCGGUUCAUCGAUCUCUUCCUGGAGGAUUUUGUUGUGGAAUUAACACAAACACAUGAAUCGAUCGAUAAACCUCUGCAUCCAGCGCUUGCCCUCCUUUUUUUUUUUUUUUCUAUACUCUCUCGCUAAUGAGAUCACUAUUUUUUUUUUGGUUGCUGAGAAAUUUUGUUUUAAAGAAAAUGCAAAAUUUCCCGAAGGGUGAAUUUUUUUUUUUCGAAUUUUCUCUAAUUGAAGUUGGUCGCAGCCUUGCAGGAAAAUGCGGCCUCCUCCGGCUAUGGAGCGUGGACUCUUACUGUAGCAUCCCUUUUCAUAUUAUGCAUCAAUUUCUCACACUACUGUGGUGUUAAAGUAAUUGACGAUGGGCUUGAUUUUGGUUAUGUACUUUUGGGUGCUGAUUUGAGCUUGUUGGUGGAAAAAUAUGUGUUUAUUGGUGGAAAAAUAUGUGUUUAAUGUCUCUGGUCUUUGAUUAAGCUUUAUGAGAUUCAUUACAUGCUAAUUCAAGUAUGCUAAGCAUUAUCAGUUGAUUUUGAUGGUAUGGAAGGAAUCAAUCUUUAGCAGCUGCUUGAUAUGAGCUGAAUCCUGAAUGAACCAUGUUGUUAAGUGUAAUUAGUAUACCUUGGAUUUUUAUUUGGGAAUUUGUAACGGGUGCAGUUGUGAUUUGAUGCUUUAUUGCUUCCAAUCAAUGCAAUGUUUUGCUCAUACAACCUUUUGUAUUAUAUAUUUUUGGGCAUUAAUUUUAAAGAUUAUAUUUGUACUCAUUCUUUUCUGGUAUUUUGUGAAAGUUGCAUUCAUAUAACUUUGUAUAUUACGUAAUUCUUGGGCAAGAAUUUGAAAUGUCAUCUUCGUAGUAAUUCUUUGCAGGUUGUUUUGGAAACUUGCAUUUGUAGUAUUCUGCAUUUGUUAAAUGUCAUGCAGCAUGUUCAAUCUUGAGUUUCAAAUUUUAGAUUUUCAUCUUCAUGCUGUAUUUGCUUGACUUGGAUCAAGUUCAGCAUUUAUUUUGAUCAUACUUGAUUGAUGGUCCCUUCUCUAUUUAUUUUCUGCUUAAUUUUUUAGAACCUAUACUACUUUGCUUUGGUAUCAAUUUUUUAUACCUAAAGGAUCCAUGCUCAUGAGAAAUAACUGAGCUUUACGCUGCCUGUCAAUCUACUGCAGCAUUUCCCUUACCCAGGAUUGGGACCAGCUAUGCUUUGCUAAGCUCACCGUAGGCAGAGUUUUUGACUUUGAUGUGUGGUUCUUCUUUAUUCUGAGUGUCAACCAUUCAAGAUUGGCGAAUUCUCUUUUGAUCUCCAUCUUUUAGUCCCUUGGCUGAAGUAGUUGCAUGAGAAGAACUCCUCGGUGGAGUUCUUAUAGAGAUAAUUCUUAAUGAUUAUAUUAUGUUGGAGAUAAUGGUUAUUUUUCUGUAGUUUUGCUCAGAUAAGUUAUUAUAUUGCUUCCUUACUAUUGAUUUUGUUUGUAUUAUAGAUUUGGUGUCCCACAAAAUAUUCUGUAAUGGAUCUGAUCUUUCGUUCCAAUUGUGACACAAUUUUUGCUGAGAAAAACCCAUUUUAGCAUUGUUUAAUUCUUCUAUGCUACUUUUCUGGUGAAUGAAAAUUAGUCUGGCUAACUCUAGCCGUUUAAACAUUUGUGAAGUAUCUCAUUUUAACUAGACCUUUUCUUUUGGGUGGAUUAUAUAAAUAUUAAAGUAAACAUGAUCCCAGAAUCACACUAUUAGGCACCUUCAACAUAUUUCUUAGAGUUGAUGACUAGCUGAACACAUUUCUCAAAAAGCAGAAAGAAAACUGUUUGAGUAUGUAUUUGUAGACAUGGAGGUCAUAGGGAGUUAAUUGGCUGCCAAUUAUGUGUCAUUUUCCUGUGCAAGUGGUCAAAAAGUAUUUAGCUUGUUUCUUUUCUAGGUAAAGUAGAAAAAAAAGUAUCCUUGGAAGAAGUUUCCAAGUGGGAGACAUAGCAUCGUCAUUGCUGCAUGAAAGCGAAGGAAAAAUACAGUUAGCGAGUACCAACUUGUUAGAGAAUCAACUAAGUUGAUUGUACUAAUGGAACCUGGGACUGGUAUCAUGUUCCUUGUGUCAGCCAAAGCUAGUGUAAAUCAAUUUUAAUUAUAUAGUCUAACAUGUCACCAUGUGGACCAAGCAAAUUGUAGAAAAAGUGUUUAGUUCUGAGGACAUGACUACCAAUUCAGAAAGAGAGAUUCCUGGGAAACCUAAUCAUGCUGAGGAUAUUCUUCUAUUUUGUUGCUUUUUUCUGAAUUAUUAUUGGUCUAAAAUUGUAUGCUUUAAUUAUUUAUUCCCAGUUUUGCUUAAGGGGAAAGCUUAAAGUGGAUUCUUUGACCACAAGGUUUUUUUCCAUCUACUUUAUUACUCUUAAUUCCUAAUUUAAUCAAUUGAAGGACUUGUUUUCACAUUUUUAUUUCUUUAAACUGUCUUUCUAACAUUCAUGUUUAUACUUGCAUUCGUUCAUAUGUAAGAAAUAUGCUCAUACAGUUUUUGUUUCUUUCCUUUCGAAGAUAAAAC
rnacentral:lncRNA from 1 species